rnacentral:rRNA from 1 species
UACGGAGGAGGCAAGCGUUAUCCGGAAUUAUUGGGCGUAAAGCGUCCGCAGGUGGCACCUCAAGUCUGCUGUCAAAGACCGGGGCUUAACCCCAGAAAGGCAGUGGAAACUGAAGCGCUAGAGUGCAGUAGGGGUAGAGGGAAUUCCCGGUGUAGCGGUGAAAUGCGUAGAGAUCGGGAAGAACAUCGGUGGCGAAGGCGGUCUGCUGGGCCGUUGCUGACGCUGAGGCGCGACAGCGUGGGGAGCAAACAGG